rnacentral:rRNA from 1 species
GAUGAACGCUGGCGGCGUGCCUAAUACAUGCAAGUCGAGCGAACGGACGAGAAGCUUGCUUCUCUGAUGUUAGCGGCGGACGGGUGAGUAACACGUGGAUAACCUACCUAUAAGACUGGGAUAACUUCGGGAAACCGGAGCUAAUACCGGAUAAUCUUUUGAACCGCAUGGUUCAAAAGUGAAAGACGGUCUUGCUGUCACUUAUAGAUGGAUCCGCGCUGCAUUAGCUAGUUGGUAAGGUAACGGCUUAUCAAGGCAACGAUGCAUAGCCGACCUGAGAGGGGGAUAGGCCACACUGGAACUGAGACACGGUCCAGAGUCCUACGGGAGGCAGCAGUCGGGAAUCGUCCGCAGUGGGCGAGAGCCUGACGGAGCAACGCGGAGUGAGUGGUGAAGGUGUUCGGAUCGUAAAACUCUGUUAUUAGGGAAGAACAUAUGUGUAAGUAACUGUGGAGAUCUUGACGGUACCUAAUCAGAAAGCCACGGCUAACUACGUG